GAUGAUGUUCGUUGUGAAGAUCUCAUCCGGAUGAACCGUUCUUAGAACAUGGGCAAUAUAGUAUCACAAAAGAAUUUUUUAAUAUUAUUAUUUUUUCUUUAACUCAACUUUCAUUAAUUAGAACGUAUGUAAUCAGUGUGAAUUAAGGAUGAAAUACAUCUGGGGACAUAAUAGAAGAACAUAAGAUGGAAAAAACCCAAAAAGAAUUUCAACUAUUUUUUAUUUGGACGUUUAAUAUCCAAUCGUUUUUGGUUUGAAGAUAAAUACACGAAGUAAUAAAACUGUGCAAUUUAACACCCAGACAAUUAAAUGUUGUUAUUUUCAUACUCACGAUCUCAUAACAAAAAUAAAAUUCCAAUUUUACCCUUAACAUCUCAAUUAACUAUUAAUUUUUAGAUGGUAUGAUAUUAAUUUUAUAAUUUUAGAUAAAAAUUAAUUUUAUUAACACUUUAGUUUAUGGUGUCUAAAAAUUUAAAUUUUCAUUUUCAUUUUUUAUAACUAUUUUAUU
rnacentral:sRNA from 1 species